rnacentral:rRNA from 1 species
GUGGGGAAUCUUCCACAAUGGACGAAAGUCUGAUGGAGCAACGCCGCGUGAGUGAAGAAGGGUUUCGGCUCGUAAAGCUCUGUUGUCGGGGACGAAUGUGCAGUAUUUGAAUAAAGUAUUGCAAUGACGGUACCUGACGAGGAAGCCACGGCUAACUACGUGCCAGCAGCCGCGGUAAUACGUAGGUGGCAAGCGUUGUCCGGAAUUAUUGGGCGUAAAGGGAGCGCAGGCGGGAAGGUAAGUCGGUCUUAAAAGUGCGGGGCUCAACCCCGUGAUGGGAUCGAAACUAUCUUUCUUGAGUGCAGGAGAGGAAAGUGGAAUUCCUAGUGUAGCGGUGAAAUGCGUAGAUAUUAGGAGGAACACCAGUGGCGAAGGCGACUUUCUGGACCGUAACUGACGCUGAGGCUCGAAAGCCAGGGGAGCGAACGGGAUUAGAAACCCCAGUAGUCC